rnacentral:rRNA from 1 species
GUUGACCUCGGAUCAGGUAGGGAUACCCGCUGAACUUAAGCAUAUCAAUAAGCGGAGGAAAAGAAACCAACAGGGAUUGCCCUAGUAACGGCGAGUGAAGCGGCAAUAGCUCAAAUUUG